GGCCCAGUGGUGUAGUGGUAACACAUCCUCUUAAGCUUCAUGUAUAUUUCGCUACUUGUGAGGAAAUACCCUGUUCGAUUCAGGGCUGGGCCA